GUAAAUUUGGGAUCCUCACACCUAUACUUCCCAUCGGGGCCGAUUCCAAAGCCUUUCGGAUCAGCAAACACGUUUUCCAGCAAUUGACUGCGAGGAGGGGGAGGACUUGCAUCUGCAAACUCCACUGCCUCUUCGAUCACUUCAUCGAUCUUCUUCUCGACUGCCUUCAGCUCAGAUUCAGUAGCUAGAUUUUGUUCGAGAAUGUAUUUCUUCAGCGCUGUAAUGGGGUCCCUUGCAGCAUAGUGAGCUUUCUCAUCUGGUCUGCGGAGCUCAUCAGGAUCGGCAAGGGAAUGUCCUCUAAACCUGUAAGUCUCGCACUCCACUAGCGUCGGACCAUCACCCCUCCUCGCCCGAGCAAGGGCCUCCUGAGCUACGGCGCGCACCUUGAGCACAUCCAUCCCAUCCACGUGAAC
rnacentral:misc_RNA from 1 species